rnacentral:rRNA from 1 species
GAUGAACGCUGGCGGCGUGCUUAACACAUGCAAGUCGAACGGGAUCCAAGGGGUGCUUGCACUUUUUGGUGAGAGUGGCGAACGGGUGAGUAACACGUGAGUAACCUGUCCUUUUCUUUGGGAUAAGCAUUCGAAAGGGUGUUUAAUACCUUAUGUUCUGUCUGCCUCGCAUGGGGUGGGUGGGAAAGGCUUUGGCCGGAUUUGGGUGGGCUCGCGGUCUAUCAGCUUGUUGGUGGGGUGAUGGCUUACCAAGGCUUUGACGGGUAGCCGGCCUGAGAGGGUGGUCGGUCACAUUGGGACUGAGAUACGGCCAAGACUCCUGCGGGAGGCAGCAGUGGGGGAUAUUGCACAAUGGGCGAAAGCCUGAUGCAGCGACGCCGCGUGGGGGAUGAAGGCCUUCGUGUUGUAAACUUCUUUUGCUCUGAACAAGGCAUGCCAGUGGGUGUGUUGAGUGUAGGGGUUGAUUAGCGCCGGCUAACUACGUG